GACGAACGCUGGCGGCGUGCUUAACACAUGCAAGUCGAACGGAAAGGCCCUGCUUUUGUGGGGUGCUCGAGUGGCGAACGGGUGAGUAACACGUGAGUAACCUGCCCUUGACUUUGGGAUAACUUCAGGAAACUGGGGCUAAUACCGGAUAGGAGCUCCUGCUGCAUGGUGGGGGUUGGAAAGUUUCGGCGGUUGGGGAUGGACUCGCGGCUUAUCAGCUUGUUGGUGGGGUAGUGGCUUACCAAGGCUUUGACGGGUAGCCGGCCUGAGAGGGUGACCGGCCACAUUGGGCCUGAGAUACGGCCCAGACUCCUACGGUAGGCAGCAGUGGGGAAUAUUGCGCAAUGGGCGGAAGCCUGAUGCAGCGACGCCGCGUGCGGGAUGACGGCCUUCGGGUUGUAAACCGCUUUCGCCUGUGACGAAGCGUGAGUGACGGUAAUGGGUAAAGAAGCACCGGCUAACUACGUG
rnacentral:rRNA from 1 species